rnacentral:rRNA from 1 species
CCCCUAGUAACUGCGAGUGAAGCGGGAAAAGCUCAAAUUUAAAAUCUGGUGGUUUUGCCAUCCGAGUUGUAAUCUGGAGAAGCGUUUUCUGUGCUGGACCGUGUACAAGUCUCUUGGAACAGAGCGUCAUAGAGGGUGAGAAUCCCGUCCAUGACACGGACACCCAGUGCUAUGUGAUACGUUUUCAAAGAGUCGAGUUGUUUGGGAAUGCAGCUCAAAAUGGGUGGUAAGCUCCAUCUAAAGCUAAAUAUUGGCGAGAGACCGAUAGCGAACAAGUACCGUGAGGGAAAGAUGAAAAGCACUUUGGAAAGAGAGUUAAACAGUACGUGAAAUUGUUGAAAGGGAAACGCUUGAAGUUAGUCGCGUCUUACUUGACUCAGCCUUGCUUCGGCUUGGUGUAUUUCAUGUGAGACGGGUCAACAUCGAUUUUGACCGGCAGACAAGGGGAGUAAGAAUGUGGCACUCUUCGGAGUGUGUUAUAGCUUAUUCUCAUAUGUGUCGGUUGGGAUCGAGGACCGCAGCGCGCCCUUGUGGCCGGAGGUUCGCCUCACGUUACGCGCUUAGGAUGUUGGCAUAAUGGCUUUAAGCGACCCGUCUUGAAACACGGACCAAGGAGUCUAACAUGCUCGCGAGUGUUAGGGUGGAAAACCCUUGCGCAGAAUGAAAGUAAAAGUUGGGAACCUCCGCAAGGGGGCGCACCGACGCCCGGCCCAGAAGUUUACGGACGGUGCUGCGGUAGAGCGCGUAUGUUGGGACCCGAAAGAUGGUGAACUAUGCCUGAAUAGGGCGAAGCCAGGGGAAACCCUGUGUGGAGGCUCGUAGCGAUUCUGACGUGCAAAUCGAUCGUCAAAUUUGGGUAUAGGGGCGAAAGACUAAUCGAACCAUCUAGUAGCUGGUUCCUGCCGAAGUUUCCCUCAGGAUAGCAGAAACUCGUAUCAGAUUUAUGUGGUAAAGCGAAUGAUUAGAGGAGCUGGGGAUAAAUUUUCCUCAACCUAUUCUCAAACUUUAAAUAUGUAAGAACGAGCCGUCUCUUAGUUGGACCGCUCGACGAUUGAGAGUUUCUAGUGGGCCAUUUUUGGUAAGCAGAACUGGCGAUGCGGGAUGAACCGAAACCCAAGUUAAGGUGCCGGAAUAACCCCCCUCAGAACCCCAAAAGGGGUUAUUCUUCUAAAAACAAGGAGGUGGGCCCGGGAAAUCGAACCGCCCAAGGAGGGGGGACAACUCCCUGCGCAAGAAUAACCCCGAAAAGGAGGGGGCUCAACGGUACCCAACCUCCCCGCGCCGUUAAUGACGCGGAGAAAGAAAGGGGGGGGGCCGGAAACCUGCGGGUUGGCG